ACCUCGUUAGCACAGUAGUUAGCACGUCAAUCUCAUAAUCUGAAGGUCGUGAGUUCGAUCCUCACAUGGGGCA
rnacentral:tRNA from 1 species